AAAGAUAUUUUGAGUCUAACGUCUGGAUAUAUUGUGUCCAACAUUAAUCUUUGUUUUUUUUCUCUUUCCAUAGAAAUGCCUCUUAUUAAAAACCUGUUUGCCUUCAUUAAUAUAGAGGCUCAGCCUAUUUGCAAUGCCACCUCCUGGAAUGAGACACAGCUGUUUAACUAAACUAAUAUAUUCUCAGGACUAGGAAGCUGACUCAACAAAGGUGUGGAUGGUUGAAGCUUGUAUCUUCCAGGCUUCAACAGUCUCCACUCAAGCUGAUGAUGGAAUAACAUAUACUAUACUAGGAGAAUCUAAGUCCCUAUAAAUCAUUAGAUCAGUCAGCAAGAGAUUUUUACAACCUCCAAUGUUAGGCAAGGACAACAGUCCAGUUCAGGAAGAAGCAGCUCCAGAAGACAAGACCUCCAGCCCCUUCUCCUUAAAAAUAAGGAAGGUAAUGGGAGAAGAUGGUAUACUAUCCAACUAAUUUUAUGGAAUCUGUGGAUUAUGCUCUUUAGAAAGGAAGAUUUCCUCCCUCAAACAAGACCAUGAGGAGCCUGGGCCAGAGUUUUCUGCUCUUAUGAUACUGAUGAUUCUCGAAGAUUGCACCAUCCACCUUUGAGGUUGCUGACUCCCAGUUGAUUGCUGGCCUGCCACUCAUCCUGUGCUGUUUUCUUGGAGCCUGACCUCCUCAGUGAUUGCUGCUGGAGAGGCUGAAUGGUGCAACCUGGAAGUGCAGAGUAGUUGAUGCUCUGUGGUGGAAACCAACCAGAUGGAGAGAGGAGUCUGCAGAGAAGUCUUCUCUUUCUUCCUCACCCCAGAGCAUACUGCUUGUGGGAAAUGGAGGGAAGGCCAACGGUCCCGACAAUGUUUGGUCAGAGCACCUCGUUCCAGGUGAUCGCCCACCUUACUGCUGCAUAGACCUGCUGUGUACCCCGAUCCCGGCCAGUCCUCUAGCCCCUCUUCCCAGCACUCAGGACGGCGGAUUUCACAUGACCAAAGACCACCCUGUGACAACAGCGUCGGAACCACGGCACUUCCGCCUGCGGCCGGUGGGACUACAAAUCCCAACAGCCCCGCGCAAGUCUCGCCCCAUACCACCUCCUCCCAACACGACUCCCAGAACCCUCCGCGAGACGCCAGGGCCUCGAAAUAGAACAAAACCGGCCGGUGGGGGAGGGGGAAGGUGAGGGUCUCGGAGGACACCGGGGGUUAGAGAGCACUCUGCAGACGCCGAAGACCCAAGCAAGCCUGCCGCCUACCUCUCCCCGCCCCACAACUGCUAGGCGCGGAGAGCGCGGCCUGUUCCCCGCGCCUCCCGGGAAGCUGAGGAAGGUCCCGGGAAGGCUUCCCCGCCGGCUCCUGCUAAGAGGUCCGCAGACCCUAGCCCGGUGUCCCCCUCCCUCCCAUAACGUUCCCCGCACACCGGCGCAAACCUCUGGCUCAGGAACCGCAGCAGCUUCGCUGUCCACGGCAGACGCAGAAACACCGUUCACAAGCCUUUUCCCAGAAGCCCCCGGCACGGGCUGCUUCCGGUCUGCGGGCCUGAGGAGGCGGGGAGAGGUAAAGCCCACGUUGCCAUGGAGAAGCUCCCCGGGCGGGGGAGGGGCGGCCCCACGACAAUGACCGCAUUGAGGCUGCGCUUGGCCUCGCGCCUCGAACAGCCUAGCGUCCUCUGGACCGUUUAAAAGAAAAGUAGAGGACUCUACCAUUAAGAUAGUCCUUACAGUUUCGCAAGCCCUUUCACGUGCAUUAUCUUGUGGAUCCUCUAAGUAAUUCCCUGCAAGAAGGAAUAAAAGCGAGUAUUUGUGAAAGCUUACUACACUGUGCCAGGCGCUCUCGUCGUGCUUUACAUGUCAUUUAUUUUUUCACAAAUAAAUGAUGUAGGAACUUUCAUUAUCCCCAUUGCACAGCUGAGAUAGUUGAGGCACAAAUACAGUAAGUAACUUGACAAGAGCUCACAACUCAUUUGUGGGUAGCAAGAUUUGAAACCAAGACGUGAUUCAAAUCUUUGGCUCCCACUAGUUAUGUCACGGAGCUUUAUUCUGACCUAUUUGUCAGGAAAACUAGAUGAGACAGGUUAAGGGUUUUGGCAACGAUGUCACGGUGAAUUUGUAGAAUGCAUGGUCAUCUUCAAGCUGGGCAUUUUAUACCAUAAAACAGCUGCUGACGCAAUCAUUUAUUACAAAUCAGACCACUUCACUCCCCUAUUUAAAGCCCUCCAAUUUAUGCCAUAAUAAUUUAUGACAUAAAAACUCCUUAUAAUGUCUUGUAAGUCCCCCAUGGUCUGUUGCCUGCCCGCACCCCCAGACCCUGGCGCCCCCAGUCACCUCAGCUCUUCAGCUCCGUGUGGCCCAAGAUCCUCAGCCUCACCGCCAGCCUUUCAUGACACAUGACCCUUCAUGGCACUAUUAUUAAUGGAAGUGAUCUCAUUUAUUUACUUGUUUUUUGUUUUGUUUUGCCUUUAAGUCCCUUAAGGGCAGGGACCUUGACUGUCUUGUUCACCACAGCAUCCCAGCCUAGACCCAGGAAGCUGACUGCCUGGUAAAUAGAGAACACAAUAAAUGUUUGUUGAAUAAAUAAAUGAAUUGUGGGAUGGUUACAUUGCUGCCUUUAGUUAGGUCACAUGAUUGGCAUCAGACACCACACAAAGGAGCCCUGUUGUUUAAGGACUGGUCAAAAGUGUAGAUCCAACCUAACAUAAGCAUUUCAAGUUCCUCAGGCUUUGACUUUUUGCCUCAUUCGGGAAAAUGCCCUCUGCAAAGUGCCGUCAGGCUCUGCUGGGUUCGUGCAUGAAGACAGCAAGUGAGCCAGCAGCUGAUGAGAUGAGGUCUUCCUAUGUUUCCUGGACUGCUCUCCAACUCCUGGGCACAAGUGACCCUCCUGCCUUGGCCUCCUAAAUUGCUAGGAUUGCAGGUGUGAGCCACCGUACCUGGCCUCCAUUCUAUUCCUAAUUCCUUCUAAAAUACUACAUGGAAACCACAGUGAGGUUUUCCUCACUAAGUUACUCUUUUGAAGGCAGACGCUAAUAACACCUGCUUUGAAACACCAUCCUUCUGAGGUCCUCUGGGAUUUUUUCUGAAUGGUGGCCCUUGUUGCCAUCUUAAAGGUCUAGUCAAGAUAAAACAUCAUGUUCCUCUGGACAACCUGAAUGGAGGGGGCAGCUUCAUACCAGGGCCUGACAAUCUUGCACAUAUCCACAUAGACCACAUAGGCAAUGCCUGAACCACAGCUGAUCUGAAUCUUGGCAGAACACCUUGGUAUCCUCCCAGAAGAUGAGCGCAAUGAGAGACUUGUAAGCAGCUCCUGCAAGGCCAUUUCCCACUCAGCUCUCUGUCUUCCAAAGAGACUGUCAUGAGGCAGUUUCUCAUUGCUUCCCGGGUUCCAGUGAGCCAUUCUGCCUUAGCCACUUAGAGUACAGCCACAGGUUAUAACAAGGCUUAGCUGCAGCAUGGCAUUGACCCCUCAGCAACAACGUGUCCACAACGUAUGCUGUAGUCAUCCAGCCCCUUCUGUUUUGGUGUCAUCAUUUUGGUAUCUGAGACAACAGCUCAUGGAGAGCUGGCACUUGCUUUUGCUUUUAAUGUCUGUGUAAAUAAUAAUAUGUCUAAAUUCAAAAAGGGCUCAUUUCUUUACCAGCCAAAUCUUUCAACCUUGUCUUGAUACCAAACAUCUGAUUCAUCAAUUAAUGGUAAAACAAACAAAACUACCAGACAGAUACUACCUGGGUACCAGAAAUAUAGAGAUUAAUAAAAUGAAGUCAUGAUUCCUUCUUUGUUUUUCCCUUUAAAAGAGAUGGGGUCUCACUCUGUUGCCCAGGCUGGAGUGCAGUGGCGUAAUCACAGCUUGCUGCAGCCUCAAACUUCUGGUAGGGAUCCUCCCGCCUCAGCCUCCUAAAACGCUGGGAUUACAGGUGUGAGCCACCAUGUCCAGCUUGAUUCCUUCUUUUAACAUUACCAUCUCUUAUUAAGGAAAUAAACAGCAACAACAGAAAAAAAACAAGUAUUCACAAGGCAGUGUAGAGCGCUACUAGAGAAGAGCAGAAUGCCUGUAAGGGUUCCUAAAUGAGAUGGUGUGCUGAGAGGGAAGGGAGGCACCCUGAAAUGGAGGAAGCCAGCAAGAAGUUUUCAGGCUGGGCAUGGUGGCCUGCACCUUUGGUCCCAGCUACUCAGGAGACCGAGUUGGGAGGAUUGCUUGAACCUGAGGGGUUGAGGAUGCAGUGAGCUGUGAUCGCAUCACUGUACUUAAGCCUUGUGGACAGAGCAAGAUCCUGAUCAAAAAGAAAAAAAAAAAAGUGUUCACAUUGGAAGGAAAGCAUAGACCUUCAGAUUUGGUGUUAUCAGAUUCCAUCCAAGACUGAUUUUUUUUCUAGGCUUUGGAGCUCUCAAUCCCCUUCAGCUCAAAAGUAUCUCCCUCUGGGCGCUUUCAGUACAUUGCUUAAAGAUUCCAUUUUAGCUAGUAAGUAUACAGUAUGAGGAGUCUUUUGAUUGCAAAACCUAACAGGCAAGCAUUGUUAGCUUCCUACACAAAGUGCUUCCCCUUACUUCUAAUACACUCCUGAUUUUUUGGAUGGAGAGCUGGGAGUGUGCCCAGCUGUAAGAAUAAAUUGUAAUUGAGCUAAGCUAUCCAUGACCAUUCUGCUUCCCUGUGCCAGAUACUGCUUUGCCUUGCUGGCAGCGAGGAAUGAGUAUGUGAUUCAUUUCUGGUCCAUGAGAUAUAAGGGGAAAUAGUUUGUAUCUUUGAAGAAAUUUAUCUAAUUCAUUUAAGUUGUCAGAUUUAUUGGCAUAAAGUUCACAAUUAUUUCCUUAAUAACUUUUAAUGUCUAAUAAUACUAAAUAGUUCCUUAAUAUCUUUUUAAUGUUUGUAGAGAUGUCCCCUCUUUCAUUCCUGACAUUGCUAAUUUCUGGUUUCUUUUUUCUUAAUCAAGACUUCAAGUUUUGCAUGAGGCUUAUCAAUUUUAUUAAUUUUUCAAAGAAUCAACUUUUGGCUUUGUUUAUUUGUUUCAUUAUUCUCUAUGGAGUUCUUCUCUUUUAAUAAAAUUAACUGACAGCAAAAUAUGGCACUUUUGGCGGGGGGCAGAUAUUUCUGAGUUUUAGAUUUGUGAAACGACCACCAAAAUCAUGAUACAGAAUAGUUCCAUCAUUCUGUAAAACUCCAUCAAGUUGUACUCACGCCUUUGCCACAUCCCUAAUUCAUGGCAACCAUAGAUUUGUCAUCUGUCACAAUAGUAUUGACUUGUCCAGAAUGUAAUAAAAAUGGAAUCAUAAGGUAUGUAA